ensembl:lncRNA
GAUCUUCUGGAUCGAUACGGCAAGUGCAUCGAGACUGUAGCAACACAUUUAAAACCUUAUAAAAGGUUAUUUAGUUGCUAACGGUGCAGCAGUUUCUGCAAAGCCUGCCAAAAGGUUACAGCUUUUUGGGCAUCAUAAAUUACGGACGACGGGGAAAAAAACGAUUUAUUGGAGGCCGUUGCAUACCUCUUAACCUCAAACACUGCAACAAAGAAGAUGGGAAGCCUGCAGAGCCCCGAGAACCUGGAGACAGCAAACCCUGCUCAUUCCCUGGGCUGGGAGCUCUGCACUGUGCUGGGCUGAG